UACGUAGGGGGCCAGCGUUGUCCGGAAUCAUUGGGCGUAAAGAGCGCGUAGGCGGCCAGACAAGUCCGGUGUGAAAGUCACAGGCUCAACCUGUGAAUGCCGCUGGAAACUGUCUGGCUAGAGUCCGGAAGGGGCGAGUGGAAUUCCUGGUGGAGCAGUGAAAUGCGUAGAUAUCAGGAGGAACACCAACGGCGAAGGCAGCCGGCUGGACGAGAUCCGACGCUCAGGCUCGAAAGUAUGGGGAGCAAAAAGG
rnacentral:rRNA from 1 species